rnacentral:rRNA from 1 species
CGGUAAGGCGCACACACUUCUUCCGGAAGCCCAACAUUUGGGGAAUGUCUUUCCUCCUUUCGAACAGCCAAUUAUGGGCAAUUCACACUGCAAUGAAAGUCUUCUUCGUGGCCGAUUGAGGCACGGUCGUCGGCGCCAUUAUGCCUCCCACGUUCGCAAUUAGCCUUAAUGACCCGCAUUUCGCGCGCAUCCAACGAACAAUUCGCUCUACACUUUCGGGGCCCUAAUUGGACCCUUGACGUAAAGCUUGACCGUUCGAUCUCAUGUCAUCUCCCACCGCCUUAAAGGACACAUCGCCACUUUACGCAUAUCUACCUUUCCUUGUAGUCACCGCUUCCGCCGGUGGACCUGACUAUGACUGUGACUCCACGCUUUCGCACCCC